rnacentral:lncRNA from 1 species
AUGCGCGAGUGGCGCCCUUCGCCUUGGCGGAAGUGCCUGCUGGCGGGCAGAGAAGCAAAACUGAAGAGUCUCUUGUGGAUCUACCUCUCUCUGGAGGCACAGGUGCUAAACGGGGUAUUAAAGGACCAUGAAGAUUUUCUCCAUCUCUUGUUGAUUAACAGAGCCGUGAUGGUAACAGCUCCCCCCAGUCCCAAGCCCUGGAUUCUACCCUGCAUGGUCCUGACGGCUUGUUCCAUCCACACCAAUAUUUUAAAAGAAAAGGCAGUGGGCUCCCAGACAAAGUUAAAAAGGGCACCACAUUUGACUGCACAUCCCAGAGCAGGUUGGCUUAACCAAGGCCUUCCAACCAGGAGGACUGACAGCAAGCAAAAGCCUCCCCGAGGACACGCACAGAGAUGGUGCAGUGGCUGCUCCGGAAAGAUUUCUGUUGACAUUGUUUUGAUCAUGUUUUCAGAUUCUGAAACACUGGCGGCGUUUGUU